UUUUUAGUAUAAAUGUGUCCCAUGUAAUAUUUGGAAUAUAUCUAUACUAAAA
rnacentral:pre_miRNA from 1 species